GAUGAACGCUGGCGGCGUGCCUAAUACAUGCAAGUCGAGCGAAUGGAUUAAGAGCUUGCCCUUAUGAAGUUAGCGGCGGACGGGUGAGUAACACGUGGGUAACCUGCCCAUAAGACUGUGAUAACUCCGGGAAACCGGGGCUAAUACCGGAUAACAUUUUGAACCGCAUGGUUCGAAAUUGAAAGGCGGCUUCGGCUGUCACUUAUGGAUGGACCCGCGUCGCAUUAGCUAGUUGGUGAGGUACCGGCUCACCAAGGCAACGAUGCGUAGCCGACCUGGGAGGGUGAUCGGCCACACUGGUCCUGAGACACGGCCCAGACCCCUACGGGAGGUAGCAGUAGGGAAUCUUCAGCAAUGGACGAAAGUCUGACGGAGCAACGCCGCGUGAGUGAUGAAGGCUUUCGGGUAGUAAAACUCUGUUGUUAGGGAAGAACAAGUGCUAGUUGAAUAAGCUGGCACCUUGACGGUACCUAACCAGAAAGCCACGGCUAACUACGUGCCAGCCGCCGCAGUAA
rnacentral:rRNA from 1 species